GCCAGACUCCUACGGGAGGCAGCAGUGGGGAAUAUUGCACAAUGGGGGGAACCCUGAUGCAGCGACGCCGCGUGGGUGAAGGAGUAUUUCGGUAUGUAAAGCCCUAUCAGCAGGGAAGAACAAUGACGGUACCUGACUAAGAAGCACCGGCUAAAUACGUGCCAGCAGCCGCGGUAAUACGUAUGGUGCAAGCGUUAUCCGGAUUUACUGGGUGUAAAGGGAGCGCAGGCGGCGCGUUAAGCCUGGUGUGAAAGCCCGCGGCCCAACCGCGGGACUGCAUUGGGAACUGGCGCGCUGGAGUGCCGGAGAGGCAGACGGAAUUCCUAGUGUAGCGGUGAAAUGCGUAGAUAUCACGCAGAACUCCGAUUGCGAAGGCAGCGCACCGGCGCCCUACUGACGCUCAGGCACGAAAGCGUGGGUAUCGAACAGGAUUAGAUACCCUCGUAGCC
rnacentral:rRNA from 1 species